rnacentral:sRNA from 1 species
CGAUUGAUGGCUCAGUGAGGCGUUCGGACUGGCUCGGGGAGGUUGGCAACGACCACCCCAAGCCGGAAAGUUCGUCAAACUCGGUCAUUUAGAGGAAGUAAAAGUCGUAACAAGGUCUCCGUAGGUGAACCUGCGGAGGGAUCAUUACACAAAUUAAAAUAUGAAGGCUUCGGCUGGAUUAUUUUUAUCACCCUUGUCUUUUGCGCACUUGUUGUUUCCUGGGCGGGUUCGCCCGCCACCAGGACCACACCAUAAACCUUUUUUAUGCAGUUGCAAUCAGCGUCAGUAUAACAAAUGUAAAUCAUUUACAACUUUCAACAACGGAUCUCUUGGUUCUGGCAUCGAUGAAGAACGCAGCGAAAUGCGAUACGUAGUGUGAAUUGCAGAAUUCAGUGAAUCAUCGAAUCUUUGAACGCACAUUGCGCCCUUUGGUAUUCCAAAGGGCAUGCCUGUUCGAGCGUCAUUUGUACCCUCAAGCUUUGCUUGGUGUUGGGCGUCUUUUGUCUUUGGCCUCGCCCAAAGACUCGCCUUAAAACGAUUGGCAGCCGGCCUACUGGUUUCGCAGCGCAGCACAUUUUUGCGCUUGCAAUCAGCAAAAAGGACGGCAAUCCAUCAAGACUACAUUUUUACGUUUGACCUCGGAUCAGUAG